AUGCUUUUGUCAACGGCAGAAGGGCGACCUGCGGAGCCAGGAGCAGGCGGGGGCGCUGCAGGGCCGCGGCCAUCUCCACGGGAAGUUAACGUUUCCGGUGAAGUCCGCCCAGCGGUUCCGAGACAGGGUCUCACUCUGCUGCCCAGCCUGGAGUGUGGUCACAUGAUCUCAGCUCACUGCAGCCUCUACCUCCUGGCUCAAGUGAUCCUCUCACCUCAGCCUCACUUUUGGUAACCCAUAGAAGCAUUUGAUCAGAGAUGUGAAUGCAGUUUUUAAGAAGAUCAUCUGACAGUGUCGUACAGAUAACUGCAGUAAGAAAAUACACACCAGUGAGAUGAGGUAGGAAGCAAGAACAAUUGUCCCCACAUGGGAGGUGACAAAGAUUAUUAUUUUUCUGUCAUGUUUAGAGUAUUGUUUCAACUGAAAUGAUUUACCUUGCUAAAUUGCGAAUGGCUUUAUAAUUUCUUCCCAAAUUUACUUUUACUAACAGAACAAUGAAUGUCACAUUGAUCCAUGUUUUAUUUAAAUCUUCUAACUCAACUAGAGCCUGAAUUUUCAUGCUAUAUUUGGCAGGGACAACUGUCAUCAUCAUUUUGUAAAAUACUGCUCGAAAAUGAAAAUUCAAAAUGUAGUUACAAUUGUCUUUGAAGUUUGUCAGUACUGUUCUGUGAUAAUUCUGAGAAGGAAGAUAAACUCAGCCUAUGAAAAAAGAAGAAAGGAACUGAGCUAUUUAAUCUUCUUAUACUGACAAUUGGAAGCUAUGAUAAUUCUUUACAUUGUGUGCACCUAGUACUUUCCCAUGACGAGGCUUAGACAUCCUUGAGAACUUCAGUAUAUUGUAAUAGGUGUCUGUUUGUGACCAAGAUGAUACUUUUACUUUACCUUUCAAUACAUAUUAUGUAUCUUUCAUCCUUAGACUAUCAGAUGGUUAUUUUAGCACAAUACACAUGUGGAAUGUUCACAUAUUUUUUCUUCCUUGCGUCUAGGUUAUGUUCACAGACAAAUGCAUUAACAGGAAAAGCUGUUGAAGAGAUUUUUCCAUUCAUGGAUUUUAAAGAGAAAGGAUGAAAAAUCAGAGUCCUCUUAAGGAUUAAGCAAAGGAUUGGGUAUGUAUUGUAUUGGAGAAUCUUACCGAUUUGCAUAUACAGUACAGGAUUUGGCUUGGUAUAAAUAUUUAUGUGUAUACUUUAUAAAGAAUAACAGAAAAUGUUUCCACUUUUACAAAUGCAAAAAUAGAGAACAUCUGGUAGAGAGUAAUUAUAUUAGUAUUCGUCACAUUAUAAUAUUUAUAAUAAAGAAAGGUGUGCAUUCUAAAUAUUUAUUUUGUUCUGAAAAAUAACAUUUGUUAGUGGCAGAAAUUAUGCAGCAAGAAAAUUAGGAUAUAUUAGAUAGUUUUAUUGCUAUACUUCAGGGAUGUGAAGGAGGCUUUUGUGAUUUACCACAGACCUUAUGAAAGAACAGGAAGCUUAAAUUUGAGCCUCUUCACUUUAUUUAUUUAUGUAUUUGAGACAGACUCUAGCUCUCUGGCCAGGCUGGAGUGCAGUGGCGCAAUCUCAGCUCACUGCAACUGCCACCUUCUGGGUUCAAGUGAUUCUUCUGCUUCAAUCUCCCAAGUAGCUGGGAUUACAGGUGCACCACCACACCCAGCAAAAUUUUCUGUAUUUUCAGUAUAGACAGGGUUUCACCGUGUUGGUCAGGCUUGUCUUGAAUUCCUGACCUUAAGGGAUCUUCCUGCCUUGGCUUCCCAAAGUGCUGGGAUUACAGGUGUGAGCCACUGUGCCUGGCCGUCUGUUCACUCUAAAUAACACUAUAUACUCAUACAAAAAUUCUUACAUCUCAGAUCAAUAAAAUACUUGAAUAUCGUGAUACAUUUUCUGUGCUCUUUGAACAAUAAUUUGUCAAAGUUAAUAUUUUUCACUGGGAAUGAAUAUAGACUGUACAUUUAUUUUUUGGGUCGUUAGUAUACUUUAAAUUCUGGGGUACAUGUGCAGAUCAUGAAGGUUUGUUACAUAGGUGUACACGUGCCAUGGUGGUGGUUUGCUGCAUCCAUUGCCCUAUUAUCUACAUCAAGUAUUUCUCCUAAAGCUUUCCAUCCCCAAUCACCCCACACCCUGCUAUUCCUCCGCUAGUCCCCCAGCCCCCAGGCCCCAGUGUGUGAUGUUCCCUUCUCUAGGUCCGUGUGUUCUCAUUGUUAAACACCUACUUAUAUGUGAGAACUUAUAGGUGUUUGGUUUCGUAUUCUGGUAUCAGUUAGGUAAGAAUGAUGAUUUCCAGUUUCAUCCAUAUCCCUGCAAAGGAAAGGAACUCAUCGUUUUUUAUAGCUGUGUAGUAUUCCAUGGUAUAUAUGUGCCACAUUUUCUUUAUCCAGUCUAUCAUUGAUGGGCAUUUGGGUUGGUUCCAAGUCUUUACUAUUGUGAACAGUGCUGCAAUAAACAUAUGUGUGCAUUUGGCUUUAUAAUAAAAUGAUUUAUAAUCCUUUGGGUAUAUACUCAGUAAUGGGAUUGCUGGGCCAAAUGAUAUUUCUAUUUCUAGAUCUUUGAGGAAUCGCCACUCUCUAUUCCACAAUGGUUGAGUUAAUUUACACUCCCACCAACAGUGUAAAAGUGUUCCUAUUUCUCCACAUCCUCUGCAGCGUCUGUUGUCUCCUUUUUUUUUUUAUGAUUGCUAUACUAACUGGCGUGAGAUGGUAUCUCAAUGUGGUUUUGAUUUACAUUUCUAUAAUGACCAGUGAUGAGUUUUUUUUCAUAUGUUUGUUGGCUGCAUAAAUGUCUUCUUUAGAAAAGUGUCUAUUCAUAUCCUUUGGCCACUUUUUGAUGGGGUUGUUUUUAUCUUGUAAAUUUAAGUUUGCCAUAGAUUCUGU
rnacentral:lncRNA from 1 species